CUGAUCUGAUAAUUAUAAUAAUACAAUCAAAAGCAAAGAGAACGAGUUUUUUGAUAAAAAAAAAAAGAUAUUAAUAAACAGCAAAACACCAGGCUUAGACAGAAUGCUAAGGGCAGAGAGUGGGGUCGCUGCUUUUACACUACAGUUAAAACAGCCCAACAGAUAUAAAAAAAAUAUAACCAUUAGAAAUAUGAACAAUGGCUCAGUAUUGAUAUUUCUGGCUGUGCGGGUCGUAACUUCGUACGAGUGGGAGGGGGAUAGACGGGUCCCUCCCUCCUAGAUUCAGACGGCGAACAGGAUAAGUAAAUACCUAGGAUUCUGCCUGGUAGGGGGGGACCCCGUUUCGAAAGAAACGCUAAUACCGCAUACUUUCUAGGGGAGAAAGCAGGGGCCCUUCGAGCCCUUCCGCUAUCAGAUGAGCCUAGGUCGGAUUAGCUUGUUGGUGAGGUAAUGGCUCACCAAGGCGACGAUCCGUAACUGAUCUGAGAGGAUGAUCAGUCACACUGGAACUGAGACACGGUCCACGCCUCCUACGGGAGGCAGC
rnacentral:rRNA from 1 species